GGAAAGGCGCGCGAUACAGGGUGACAGCCCCGUACACAAAAGCGCAUGUGCUGUGAGCUCGAUGAGUAGGGCGGGACACGUGGUAUCCUGUCUGAAUAUGGGGGGACCAUCCUCCAAGGCUAAAUACUCCUGACUGACCGAUAGUGAACCAGUACCGUGAGGGAAAGGCGAAAAGAACCCCGGCGAGGGGAGUGAAAAAGAACCUGAAACCGUGUACGUACAAGCAGUGGGAGCCCCACCACCAAAGCAUUCUCUGGUGUUGAAGGCCCUGCAAAGCAGCAUCGCGGUGGCGGAGCGUCGUUUGCGACGCCCAACACACAAAACAAGCGGUGAGUGCUUUGGGGUGGGGUGACUGCGUACCUUUUGUAUAAUGGGUCAGCGACUUAUAUUCUGUAGCAAGGUUAACCGWAUAGGGGAGCCGGAGGGAAACCGAGUCUUAAUUGGGCGUUAAGUUGCAGGGUAUAGACCCGAAACCCGGUGAUCUAGCCAUGGGCAGGUUGAAGGUUGGGUAACACUAACUGGAGGACCGAACCGACUAAUGUUGAAAAAUUAGCGGAUGACCUGUGGCUGGGGGUGAAAGGCCAAUCAAACCGGGAGAUAGCUGGUUCUCCCCGAAAGCUAUUUAGGUAGCGCCUCGUGAAUUCAUCUCCGGGGGUAGAGCACUGUUUCGGCUAGGGGGCCAUCCCGGCUU
rnacentral:rRNA from 1 species